UGGGGAAUAUUGCACAAUGGGCGCAAGCCUGAUGCAGCCAUGCCGCGUGUGUGAAGAAGGCCUUCGGGUUGUAAAGCACUUUCAGCGAGGAGGAAGGUGGUGGACUUAAUACGUUCAUCAAUUGACGUUACUCGCAGAAGAAGCACCGGCUAACUCCGUGCCAGCAGCCGCGGUAAUACGGAGGGUGCAAGCGUUAAUCGGAAUUACUGGGCGUAAAGCGCACGCAGGCGGUUUGUUAAGUCAGAUGUGAAAUCCCCGGGCUCAACCUGGGAACUGCAUUUGAAACUGGCAAGCUAGAGUCUCGUAGAGGGGGGUAGAAUUCCAGGUGUAGCGGUGAAAUGCGUAGAGAUCUGGAGGAAUACCGGUGGCGAAGGCGGCCCCCUGGACGAAGACUGACGCUCAGGUGCGAAAAGCGUGGGGAGCAAAACAGGAUUAGAUACCCUGGUAGUCCACGCUGUAAAACGAUGUCGAUUUGGAGGUUGUGCCCUUGAGGCGUGGCUUCCGGAGCUAACGCGUUAGAUCGACCGCCUGGGGAGUACGGCCGCAAGGUUAAAACUCAAAUGAAUUGAC
rnacentral:rRNA from 1 species